ACGCAGUUUUUGAUACUUUGAAAGACAGUCCUAGAAAACAGAGAACUCGUGUGUGAGAACAGGGUGGAUACAUGUUUUGAUACAUGUUUGAUACCCAGGCUAACUUCAUCGAUAGUCUGGACGAAUAUGCUAUAUUAGGUCUUAGGAAUUCUGACACUUUGAUUAUUUUAUAGAUACGGUCCUGUGUGGCUGCGAUUUAGUUCAAUCUAUCAUUUUGAAUUCAUUCCCAGGUUAGAACGACCAAGUCAUGGGGCCCUGGACGCUAUACAAAAAGUCUAUCACACGCGGCACUUUUUAGAGCCACUAAAUAUUUUAAACAAGGAGCUUCUUUCAACUAUGUUCAGCAAUAUUUAUUGUUUACUUGCUGAUUGUCAAUUUAUUAUCUUUAAAACCUCUAUCUUUCUAUUAUAUUUUUGAUUAUUCAUACUGAACUUAUUAUGGAAUAUUUUGAAGAUAUGAAAUAAAGUAUAGGAAACUGA